rnacentral:rRNA from 1 species
AAUCAACGCUGGCGGCGUGCCUCAGACAUGCAAGUCGAACGAUUAAAGCUCUCUUCGGAGAGUGCAUAGAGUGGCGCACGGGUGAGUAACACGUAAGUAAUCUACCUUCGAGUGGGGAAUAACGUCCGGAAACGGACGCUAAUACCGCAUAAUGCAGCGGCAUCGUAAGAUGACAGUUGUUAAAGAUUUAUCGCUUGAAGAGGAGCUUGCGGCAGAUUAGCUAGUUGGUAAGGUAAUGGCUUACCAAGGCUACGAUCUGUAACCGGUCUUAGAGGACGGUCGGUCACACUGACACUGAAUAACGGGUCAGACUCCUACGGGAGGCAGCAGUCGGGAAUUUUGGGCAAUGGGCGAAAGCCUGACCCAGCAACGCCGCGUGAAGGAUGAAGUAUUUCGGUAUGUAAACUUCGAAAGAAUAGGAAGAAUUAAUGACGGUACUAUUUAUAAGGUCCGGCUAACUACGUGCCAGCAGCCGCGGUAAGUGACGUCAGA